rnacentral:rRNA from 1 species
GAUGAACGCUAGCGGCAGGCCUAAUACAUGCAAGUCGAACGGGAUUUGAGUAGCAAUACUUAAUGAGAGUGGCGCACGGGUGCGUAACGCGUAUGCAACCUACCUUUAACAGGGGGAUAGCUCCGAGAAAUCGAAAUUAAUACCCCAUAGAAUUAUUGAUUGGCAUCAAUUAAUAAUUAAAGCUCCGGCGGUUAAAGAUGGGCAUGCGUGCCAUUAGCUAGUUGGUGAGGUAACGGCUCACCAAGGCAACGAUGGCUAGGGGUUCUGAGAGGAUUAUCCCCCACACUGGUACUGAGACACAGACCAGACUCCUACGGGAGGCAGCAGUAAGGAAUAUUGGGCAAUGGACGCAAGUCUGACCCAGCCAUGCCGCGUGCAGGAAGACAGCCCUAUGGGUUGUAAACUGCUUUUGUCAGGGAAUAAAC